UCUGUUUUUUUUUGUUUUCAUUUAGUUUUAAGCAUAAAGUGAUUUGUUCUGUUUUUGUUUUGUUUUGUGUUACUAUAGUUAAUUAAAAAGUGAAGUUUGAACAAAGGCGAUGGACUCGAGCAUGUUUCCGUAUCGGUAGUAUCUGUAGUCUAACACCGUACACUGUAUCUUCUAUCUGCAGCCCAAUCCACAUUCAAGUCUAACACCGUACACUGUAUCUUGUAUCUGCAGCCUAAUCCACAUUCAAGUCUAACACCGUACACUGUAUCUUGUAUCUGCAGCCCAAUCCACAUUCAAGUCUAACACCGUACACUGUAUCUUGUAUCUGCAGCCUAAUCCACGGAAGCAUAAAUUUAGGUUAUACGUUGAAAAAAAUUCAUCAAAAAUGUAUUUUUUUUCUAGAUUCAAGUCUAACACCGUACACUGUAUCUUGUAUCUGCAGCCCAAUCCACAUUCAAGUCUAACACCGUACACUGUAUCUUGUAUCUGCAGCCUAAUACACAUUCAAGUCUAACACCGUACACUGUAUCUUGUAUCUGCAGCCCAAUCCACAUUCAAGUCUAACACCGUACACUGUAUCUUGUAUCUGAAAACAGCCAUAAUCCACAUUCUGGAUUAAAUCUAAUUUCCCCCGGCCACAAAAGAAGGAGAGGUUCAAGGUAGUCGCUCGCAUUAACGCAUUAAUCUGAUGAUCACUUUUUGAAGGAUUGUUAGCACAAAAUGAUUAUAUUUGGAUACUAAUAAUUAUAUUUUGAUACUAAUAAUUAUAUUUUGAUACUAAUAAUUAUAUUUUGAUACUAAACACAAACAUGAAUGUUUAUUUUAUUGAAUAAGAAUGGGGGAGGAGUUUCUCAAAGAGAGUAUAGGGGUGUAUUCCAUAUGUGGGGACAGAGGAUGAGUGUAACGCGCAGAAGGAAGCGUCUAAGCUCCUGCAAAAUCUUCCACACCUUCCUGAGAGAUCCCUCGAUUCAAGGCUCCUUGGAGAUGCGGAUUUCCCCUAUCAUCUGUUGCAUUGGACGACGAGGUAAGCCUGUCGCUAUCUGUCAAAUGAUUGGCACCGACAAAACGUAUUUGAUUGGACUGUAGCAAACAUUCUACCAAGCAAAAAAUGUAAGACUUGGAUGCAUGGAAGACUCUUGAAGACCAUCGAAGAGCCCUCACUGAAUAAUUCCAAUUUAAUUUCCAUUACCUCCCGGAUUUCCAUUACCUCCCGCCCCCCCUUGUACGUAAUCGAUAUCGAUUCUUAGAGGACCCUCAGGGCCUCAGGUUUUGUUAUACCCAACAAGGUAUAUUUUAAAACGUUUAACACACAAUUUUGUGCCUACUUUGGUGGGAAUAUUUUCAAAAAAACCAAAAAAUAAAAAACGAAAAAAAAACAUGAACCCAGCAAUCCAUGCCCGACAACAGCCCCAAUUUCAAAUUCGAUAUCGUGUGAGAAUGCUGGAAAAUUUUCAGUAUUGUACGGAGCCUCGACAUUAAAACACAUACAAAUAAAAAUUCCAAAUUUCCAAAUUUUGUAAAAUAUUUAUUUCUGUUUUUUUUUUGUUUUCAUUUAGUUUUAAGCAUAAAGUGAUUUGUUGUGUUUUUUGUGUUUUUGUUUUGUUUUGUGUUACUAUAGUUAAUUAAAAAGUGAAGUUUGAACAAAGGCGAUGGACUCGGGCAUGUUUCCGUAUCGGUAGUAUCUGUAGUCUAACACCGUACACUGUAUCUUCUAUCUGCAGCCCAAUCCACAUUCAAGUCUAACACCGUACACUGUAUCUUGUAUCUGCAGCCUAAUCCACAUUCAAGUCUAACACCGUACACUGUAUCUUGUAUCUGCAGCCCAAUCCACAUUCAAGUCUAACACCGUACACUGUAUCUUGUAUCUGCAGCCUAAUCCACAUUCAAGUCUAACACCGUACACUGUAUCUUGUAUCUGCAGCCCAAUCCACAUUCAAGUCUAACACCGUACACUGUAUCUUGUAUCUGCAGCCUAAUACACAUUCAAGUCUAACACCGUACACUGUAUCUUGUAUCUGCAGCCCAAUCCACAUUCAAGUCUAACACCGUACACUGUAUCUUGUAUCUGAAAACAGCCAUAAUCCACAUUCUGGAUUAAAUCUAAUUUCCCCCAGCCACAAAAGAAGGAGAGGUUCAAGGUAGUCGCUCGCAUUAACGCAUUAAUCUGAUGAUCACUUUUUGAAGGAUUGUUAGCACAAAAUGAUUAUAUUUGGAUACUAAUAAUUAUAUUUUUAUACUAAUAAUUAUAUUUUGAUACUAAUAAUUAUAUUUUGAUACUAAACACAAACAUGAAUGUUUAUUUUAUUGAAUAAGAAUGGGGGAGGAGUUUCUCAAAGAGAGUAUAGGGGUGUAUUCCAUAUGUGGGGACAGAGGAUGAGUGUAACGCGCAGAAGGAAGCGUCUAAGCUCCUGCAAAAUCUUCCACACCUUCCUGAGAGAUCCCUCGAUUCAAGGCUCCUUGGAGAUGCGGAUUUCCCCUAUCAUCUGUUGCAUUGGACGACGAGGUAAGCCUGUCGCUAUCUGUCAAAUGAUUGGCACCGACAAAACGUAUUUGAUUGGACUGUAGCAAACAUUCUACCAAGCAAAAAAUGUAAGACUUGGAUGCAUGGAAGACUCUUGAAGACCAUCGAAGAGCCCUCACUGAAUAAUUCCAAUUUAAUUUCCAUUACCUCCCGCCCCCCCUUGUACGUAAUCGAUAUCGAUUCUUAGAGGACCCUCAGGGCCUCAGGUUUUGUUAUACCCAACAAGGUAUAUUUUAAAACGUUUAACACACAAUUUUGUGCCUACUUUGGUGGGAAUAUUUUCAAAAAAACCAAAAAAUAAGAAACGAAAAAAAAACAUGAACCCAGCAAUCCAUGCCCGACAACAGCCCCAAUUUCAAAUUCGAUAUUGUGCGAGAAUGCUGGAAAAUUUUCAUUAUUGUACGGAGCCUCGACAUUAAAACACAUACAAAUAAAAAUUCCAAAUUUUCAAAUUUUGUAAAAUAUUUCUGUUUUUUUUUUGUUUUCAUUUAGUUUUAAGCAUAAAGUGAUUUGUUGUGUUUUUGUUUUGUUUUGUGUUACUAUAGUUAAUUAAAAAGUGAAGUUUGAACAAAGGCGAUGGACUCGAGCAUGUUUCCGUAUCUGUUAUCAUUGUAUCAGACAACUCACAGCCUGGGCCUUUAUUUCAGUCAUAUAUAAAUUGUAUAUUAUGUUAGUAUGUUCUCAUGGUGCCCGAAGAAUUCGGAAAGUGUGGGAUUAUUCAGACUUUGUGGAAUCUCAAGUCUGGGCGUAGCAGGCCGUCCACCCCCACGCAGAUAGCGCUGUUGUGUACGUUGCAAUGGUAGACCUUUGUAAGGAACAUCAAAAACGGUGGUCGAGCCGGGUACGUCUGCGGAAAGUAAAGGCGUAGUUUAAAGUGGCCGCGGAGGCGGCGUACGCCUAAUUUGGAGCCCCGCAACUUGUAAGUUAGCGGCCAAAGCUCCCAUGACGGCAAGGUUACCGGUGCCACGUUGUGGGUCGGGAUUCUGGAGGAGCGUCACGAUCGGUGCGGUGUCCUGCACAGGACGGUAGUAUCUGUAGUCUAACACCGUACACUGUAUCUUGUAUCUGCAGCCCAAUCCACAUUCAAGUCUAACACCGUACACUGUAUCUUGUAUCUGAAAACAGCCAUAAUCCACAUUCUGGAUUAAAUCUAAUUUCCCCCGGCCACAAAAGAAGGAGAGGUUCAAGGUAGUCGCUCGCAUUAACGCAUUAAUCUGAUGAUCACUUUUUGAAGGAUUGUUAGCACAAAAUGAUUAUAUUUGGAUACUAAUAAUUAUAUUUUGAUACUAAUAAUUAUAUUUUGAUACUAAACACAAACAUGAAUG